ACCCCAGUACCAUCGAGGGCCAAUGGAUCAGAUGUCAUUUCCAUAUGUUGGGUCCGAGCUAUCAGGAUACGCUCCAUUUGUAGUCAUUCAUGUCCUGCCAUUUAAUCACAGUCCGAUAUCUGUCGAGAUUUGAAUCCGGAUCACUUCGUUGGAAACAAAGUCCCAUUCCGCUGGGAUGCCACCUCAGUGGCACAAUGGUUAUAGCUUUUAAUG
rnacentral:lncRNA from 1 species